AACGCAAAUUGCACUCCCUGGUAUUCCGGGGAGUAUGCCUGUUUGAGGGUCGUUAGAAUAAAAAUCGAGGCGUCGCUCUUUUUUUUAAGGGUGAUCGCGUCGGAAUUGAGCCGUCUUUCAAAUGUUAAUUCAUGUCAAAGUGGCUUAAAAUUCAUCCAUCUGGUAUGAUUAAAGCGUAUUUAAGAUCAAUUUUGAUUAAGAACGCGCGAUGACGGACCAUCUCAUGUAGUACGUUUGACCUGGCGUCGUCAGGAUCAUUCGUAUACGAUACUCAAACUUUUGACCUCAAAUCAGGUAAGAAUACCCGCUGAACUUAA
rnacentral:misc_RNA from 1 species